rnacentral:rRNA from 1 species
CCUACGGGUGGCAGCAGUGAGGAAUAUUGGUCAAUGGGCGCGAGCCUGAACCAGCCAAGUAGCGUGAAGGAUGACGGUCCUAUGGAUUGUAAACUUCUUUUGUCGGGGAGCAAAAGACGCCAUGCGUGGUGCUCCGCAAGUACCCGAUGAAAAAGCAUCGGCUAACUCCGUGCCAGCAGCCGCGGUAAUACGGAGGAUCCGAGCGUUAUCCGGAUUUAUUGGGUUUAAAGGGUGCGCAGGCGGAAGAUCAAGUCAGCGGUAAAAUUGUGAGGCUCAACCUCUUCGUGCCGUUGAUACUGGUAUUCUUGAGUGAGUGAGAGGUAUGCGGAAUGCGUGGUGUAGCGGUGAAAUGCAUAGAUAUCACGCAGAACUCCGAUUGCGAAGGCAGCAUACCGGAGCGCAACUGACGCUCAUGCACGAAAGUGUGGGUAUCGAACAGGAUUAGAUACCCUUGUAGUC